rnacentral:rRNA from 1 species
GACGAACGCUGGCGGCGUGCUUAACACAUGCAGGUCGAACGAUGAAGAAGAGAAACGCGAACUUCGGUUCAAAUUUCACCUCGGAUUAGUGGCAGACGGGUGAGUAACGCGUGAGCAACCUACCUCUUACAAAGGGAUAGCCUCGGGAAACCGUGAUUAAUACCAUAUGACACAUUCAUAAGGCAUCUUAAGAAUGUUAAAGCUACGGCGGUAAGAGAUGGGCUCGCGUCCCAUUAGCUAGUUGGUGAGGUAACGGCCCACCAAGGCGACGAUGGGUAACCGGCCUGAGAGGGUGAACGGUCACAUUGGAACUGAGACACGGUCCAAACUCCUACGGGAGGCAGCAGUGGGGAAUAUUGCACAAUGGAGGGAACUCUGAUGCAGCGACGCCGCGUGAGCGAUGAAGGAAUUCGUUUCGUAAAGCUCUGUUCUAUGGGAAGAAAAGGACUGUACCAUAGGAGAAAGCCCCGGCUAAAUACGUG